rnacentral:rRNA from 1 species
CUACGGGUCGCACCAGUGAGGAAUUUUGCGCAAUGGGGGAAACCCUGACGCAGCAACGCCGCGUGAGUGAAGAAGGCCCUUGGGUCGUAAAGCUCUGUCAAUGGGGAAGAAGUUGCUUGGUAUUAAUAGUGCCUUGUAUUGACGGUACCCAUGAAGGAAGCACCGGCUAACUCCGUGCCAGCAGCCGCGGUAAUACGGGGGGUGCAAGCGUUAUUCGGAAUUAUUGGGCGUAAAGGGCACGCAGGCGGUCCUGUCAGUCAGAUGUGAAAGCCCGGGGCUCAACCCCGGACGUGCAUUUGAAACAGCAGGACUUGAGUACGGGAGAGGAAAGGGGAAUUCCUGGUGUAGAGGUGAAAUUCGUAGAUAUCAGGAGGAACACCGGUGGCGAAGGCGCCUUUCUGGACCGAUACUGACGCUGAGGUGCGAAGGCGUGGGUAGCGAACGGGAUUAGAUACCCCUGUAGUC